GACGUAGGGCGCGAGCGUUGUCCGGAUUUAUUGGGCGUAAAGAGCUCGUAGGCGGCUUGUUGCGUCGACUGUGAAAACCCGCGGCUUAACCGCGUGGCUUGCAGUCGAUACGGGCAGGCUUGAGUUCGGUAGGGGAGACUGGAAUUCCUGGUGUAGCGGUGAAAUGCGCAGAUAUCAGGAGGAACACCUGUGGCGAAGGCGGCUUUCUGGGCCUUACCUGACGCUGAGACGCGAAAGCGUGGGGAGCGAACCGG
rnacentral:rRNA from 1 species